CCUACGGGAGGCAGCAGUGGGGAAUCUUGCGCAAUGGGCGAAAGCCUGACGCAGCAACGCCGCGUGCGGGAAGAAGGCUUUCGGGCUGUAAACCGCUUUCAGCAGGAACGAAAAUGACGGUACCUGCAGAAGAAGGAGCGGCCAACUAUGUGCCAGCAGCCGCGGUGAUACAUAGGCUUCAAGCGUUGUCCGGAUUUAUUGGGCGUAAAGAGUUCGUAGGCGGUCGAGUAAGUCGGGUGUGAAAAUUCUGGGCUCAACCCAGAGACGCCACCCGAUACUGCUUGACUUGAGUUCGAUAGGGGAGUGGGGAAUUCCUAGUGUAGCGGUGAAAUGCGCAGAUGUUAGGAGGAACACCGGUGGCGAAGGCGCCACUCUGGAUCGAUACUGACGCUGAGGAACGAAAGCAUGGGUAGCAAACAGGAUUAGAUACCCUGGUAGUCCAUGCCGUAAACGGUGGGCACUAGGUGUGGGUUUCUAUUAACGAAAUCCGCGCCGUCGCUAACGCAUUAAGUGCCCCGCCUGGGGAGUACGGUCGCAAGACUAAAACUCAAAGGAAUUGACGG
rnacentral:rRNA from 1 species